rnacentral:rRNA from 1 species
UUAAGCGACUAAGCGUACACGGUGGAUGCCCUGGCAGUCAGAGGCGAUGAAGGACGUGCUAAUCUGCGAUAAGCGUCGGUGAGGUGAUAUGAACCGUUAUAACCGGCGAUUUCCGAAUGGGGAAACCCAGUGUGUUUCGACACACUAUCAUUAACUGAAUCCAUAGGUUAAUGAGGCGAACCGGGGGAACUGAAACAUCUAAGUACCCCGAGGAAAAGAAAUCAACCGAGAUUCCCCCAGUAGCGGCGAGCGAACGGGGAGCAGCCCAGAGCCUGAAUCAGUGUGUGUGUUAGUGGAAGCGUCUGGAAAGGCGUGCGAUACAGGGUGACAGCCCCGUACACAAAAAUGCACAUACUGUGAGCUCGAUGAGUAGGGCGGGACACGUGGUAUCCUGUCUGAAUAUGGGGGGACCAUCCUCCAAGGCUAAAUACUCCUGACUGACCGAUAGUGAACCAGUACCGUGAGGGAAAGGCGAAAAGAACCCCGGCGAGGGGAGUGAAAAAGAACCUGAAACCGUGUACGUACAAGCAGUGGGAGCCUCUUAAUGGGGUGACUGCGUACCUUUUGUAUAAUGGGUCAGCGACUUAUAUUCUGUAGCAAGGUUAACCGAAUAGGGGAGCCGAAGGGAAACCGAGUCUUAACUGGGCGUUAAGUUGCAGGGUAUAGACCCGAAACCCGGUGAUCUAGCCAUGGGCAGGUUGAAGGUUGGGUAACACUAACUGGAGGACCGAACCGACUAAUGUUGAAAAAUUAGCGGAUGACUUGUGGCUGGGGGUGAAAGGCCAAUCAAACCGGGAGAUAGCUGGUUCUCCCCGAAAGCUAUUUAGGUAGCGCCUCGUGAAUUCAUCUCCGGGGGUAGAGCACUGUUUCGGCAAGGGGGUCAUCCCGACUUACCAACCCGAUGCAAACUGCGAAUACCGGAGAAUGUUAUCACGGGAGACACACGGCGGGUGCUAACGUCCGUCGUGAAGAGGGAAACAACCCAGACCGCCAGCUAAGGUCCCAAAGUCAUGGUUAAGUGGGAAACGAUGUGGGAAGGCCCAGACAGCCAGGAUGUUGGCUUAGAAGCAGCCAUCAUUUAAAGAAAGCGUAAUAGCUCACUGGUCGAGUCGGCCUGCGCGGAAGAUGUAACGGGGCUAAACCAUGCACCGAAGCUGCGGCAGCGACACUAUGUGUUGUUGGGUAGGGGAGCGUUCUGUAAGCCUGCGAAGGUGUACUGUGAGGUAUGCUGGAGGUAUCAGAAGUGCGAAUGCUGACAUAAGUAACGAUAAAGCGGGUGAAAAGCCCGCUCGCCGGAAGACCAAGGGUUCCUGUCCAACGUUAAUCGGGGCAGGGUGAGUCGACCCCUAAGGCGAGGCCGAAAGGCGUAGUCGAUGGGAAACAGGUUAAUAUUCCUGUACUUGGUGUUACUGCGAAGGGGGGACGGAGAAGGCUAUGUUGGCCGGGCGACGGUUGUCCCGGUUUAAGCGUGUAGGCUGGUUUUCCAGGCAAAUCCGGAAAAUCAAGGCUGAGGCGUGAUGACGAGGCACUACGGUGCUGAAGCAACAAAUGCCCUGCUUCCAGGAAAAGCCUCUAAGCAUCAGGUAACAUCAAAUCGUACCCCAAACCGACACAGGUGGUCAGGUAGAGAAUACCAAGGCGCUUGAGAGAACUCGGGUGAAGGAACUAGGCAAAAUGGUGCCGUAACUUCGGGAGAAGGCACGCUGAUAUGUAGGUGAAGUCCCUCGCGGAUGGAGCUGAAAUCAGUCGAAGAUACCAGCUGGCUGCAACUGUUUAUUAAAAACACAGCACUGUGCAAACACGAAAGUGGACGUAUACGGUGUGACGCCUGCCCGGUGCCGGAAGGUUAAUUGAUGGGGUUAGCGGUAACGCGAAGCUCUUGAUCGAAGCCCCGGUAAACGGCGGCCGUAACUAUAACGGUCCUAAGGUAGCGAAAUUCCUUGUCGGGUAAGUUCCGACCUGCACGAAUGGCGUAAUGAUGGCCAGGCUGUCUCCACCCGAGACUCAGUGAAAUUGAACUCGCUGUGAAGAUGCAGUGUACCCGCGGCAAGACGGAAAGACCCCGUGAACCUUUACUAUAGCUUGACACUGAACAUUGAGCCUUGAUGUGUAGGAUAGGUGGGAGGCUUUGAAGUGUGGACGCCAGUCUGCAUGGAGCCGGCCUUGAAAUACCACCCUUUAAUGUUUGAUGUUCUAACGUUGGCCCCUGAUCGGGGUUGCGGACAGUGUCUGGUGGGUAGUUUGACUGGGGCGGUCUCCUCCUAAAGAGUAACGGAGGAGCACGAAGGUUGGCUAAUCCUGGUCGGACAUCAGGAGGUUAGUGCAAUGGCAUAAGCCAGCUUGACUGCGAGCGUGACGGCGCGAGCAGGUGCGAAAGCAGGUCAUAGUGAUCCGGUGGUUCUGAAUGGAAGGGCCAUCGCUCAACGGAUAAAAGGUACUCCGGGGAUAACAGGCUGAUACCGCCCAAGAGUUCAUAUCGACGGCGGUGUUUGGCACCUCGAUGUCGGCUCAUCACAUCCUGGGGCUGAAGUAGGUCCCAAGGGUAUGGCUGUUCGCCAUUUAAAGUGGUACGCGAGCUGGGUUUAGAACGUCGUGAGACAGUUCGGUCCCUAUCUGCCGUGGGCGCUGGAGAACUGAGGGGGGCUGCUCCUAGUACGAGAGGACCGGAGUGGACGCAUCACUGGUGUUCGGGUUGUCAUGCCAAUGGCACUGCCCGGUAGCUAAAUGCGGAAGAGAUAAGUGCUGAAAGCAUCUAAGCACGAAACUUGCCCCGAGAUGAGUUCUCCCUGACUCUUUAAGGGUCCUGAAGGAACGUUGAAGACGACGACGUUGAUAGGCCGGGUGUGUAAGCGCAGCGAUGCGUUGAGCUAACCGGUACUAAUGAACCGUGAGGCUUAACCU